AUUGAACGCUGGCGGCAUGCCUUACACAUGCAAGUCGAACGGCAGCACGGGAGCAAUCCUGGUGGCGAGUGGCGAACGGGUGAGUAAUAUAUCGGAACGUGCCCAGUCGUGGGGGAUAACGUAGCGAAAGCUACGCUAAUACCGCAUACGAUCUAUGGAUGAAAGCGGGGGAUCGCAAGACCUCGCGCGAUUGGAGCGGCCGAUAUCAGAUUAGGUAGUUGGUGAGGUAAAGGCUCACCAAGCCGACGAUCUGUAGCUGGUCUGAGAGGACGACCAGCCACACUGGGACUGAGACACGGCCCAGACUCCUACGGGAGGCAGCAGUGGGGGAAUUUUUGGACAAUGGGCGCAAGCCUGAUCCAGCAAUGCCGCGUGCAGGAUGAAGGCCUUCGGGUUGUAAC
rnacentral:rRNA from 1 species